UCUCUAUUUUUUUUCAAACUCAAAAUAAAAUAAAGCCUUUUUGAUUUCCUGCUAUACACUCUCUCUCCGCAUUCCUUCUCUUUUUGGAACUUGAAAUCUAUCAAAUCUUUUUUUUUUUUUUAAUAAUAAAUUCAAUCAAAAUCACAUCCCUAGAAGGCUUGGUUUUUCUCUCUGAUCGUCCAAGAAAAAGUCUCUUUGCGAACUCAUGGUGGCCCAAUUGGUGCUGCAAGCUUGAUCCACCUGCAAGGCCGUAACAAAGUCACCUGUGUCUCUUUUGCCAAUGCCCAAGGAUGCUACAGACGAGGUAGACAAGGCUCUCUAUUGGACUCGACAGAUGCUAUGCUACAUGCAUCCUCAAAGCCCUAGCAGUUGAUUUUAAGGCCACAAGUCCCCAUCGAAAUCUAUUGAAUCUCUGGUAGCCUCUUCAUCUCUCUUUACUCAUUAAUGACGAAAGCACAAAUAAUCUUGCACUAAAGGAGGACGACCAUUAUAGUGCAAAACAAAUCAAACUCUGGAGAAUCAAGAAGCAAGUCAUGUUAUCCAUUUAAAAAAAAACUAAACAAUUGGGUAUGUGACAUUUUAGAGUGUAUGAUUUCUUAUUUGCUGUUUUCACUUGACUAGGAUGUAAAUUCCUAAUAUUUUUUUUUUCUUUUGAGUUCUCUUGACAAUGGAAUCAUUUAAUUGGCUAGGCUGGUGGCUUAACUUUCAGCCUUUCAUAUUUGAGCAUUUUUAGGGUAUAUGAUUUCUUAGAAGUUGUUUGUACUGAGCUCAGCUGUUUAAACCCUAGAACAUAGUUUUUUUUUUCCUCCUUA